rnacentral:rRNA from 1 species
AUUGAACGCUGGCGGCAAGCCUAACACAUGCAAGUCGAACGAGUGGCGGACGGGUGCGUAAUGUCUGGGAAACUGCCUGAUGGAAGGGGAUCACUACUGGAAACGGUAGCUACUACCGCCUACCAUCGGAUGUGCCCAGAUGGGAAUAGCUAGUAGGUGUGGUAAAGGCUAACCUGGGCGCUGAUCCCUAGCUGGUCUGAGAGGAUGACCAGCCAGAGGGGAACUGAGACACGGUCCAGACUCCUACGGGAGGCAGCAGUGGGGAAUAUUGCAGAAUGAGCGCAAGCCGGAUGCAGCCAUGCCGCGUGUAUGAAGAAGGCCUUCGGGUGGUAAAGUACUUUCAGCGGGGAGGCGUUACCCGCAGAAGAAGCACCGGCUAACUCCGUGCCAGCAGCCGCGGUAAUUC